UUGAAAAGCUGCUGAGUAUGAUGAAUCAUCGUCUGCACAGAAUAUUAACAUCAUUCAUUAGACCAAUCUAGCAGUGGCAGAAAUAUGUAAUUGACACGAUUGUAAUCCAAGUUUUAGCAAUUUCACAACCAGAUGGAAGCCCUCAUUGGCUUGAAAAUUUUAAUUUCUUACAUAAAUGAAAUUGUAAUCCAGCAAGAAAGUCAAUGGUAGAACAAAUUGUAAACUUCAAAGUCACUAAGAGGAGGCUUUCUCAGACCCCAUUUCACAGAAAACAUGAAGGGAAAGGUCAGUUGCAACAUUGUUAUGUUAACUUUAUAUUUAGUCCUCAUUAUAUCUGUAUUAGUAUAUUAUUCAAGAGGAAUGGGAGGCAGAUGUCGUAGUUUGAAUCCUUGACCUCAUUCACCACACAAUAGUUGACCAUUGGGAUACUAACCCAAUAGUAGCAGUGCCUAAUAACUUAUGAUGACCAGCCAAAAAGUUAAGCUUUCGUCCUUUCACUACAGAUUUAUCAUUAAAAAAGAUCCUGCAAUCUACAGUUUAAUCUGGGAAGCAAAUUACAUGGUACAUAUUUUUAUUGGGAAUGAUGAAACAGAAAUGGCAGGAAUCAUCAAAUAGAAGUUUUAUGGCAUUGAAUAUAGAUCAUACCAUCGAGUUGUUCAAUCAGAUGUGUUCAUUCAAAAUAUAAAAAAGAAACAAAUUUAUCAGGCAAUCUAAAUAUGAGAAGUAGCAUAACCAACAAACUAUGCAAUCACAAGUAGCAUCAAAGAGCCCAAAGAUCAGAAAUAUUCAAGUCCAUCAGAAGCAGUAUUGGGAGUUUAGGAAUUAUAUUCAUUGUAGAAUUAUAAAGUUUAGAUUUUUAUUAUUUAGAAAUUUUAUUUUUAUUAGAUUUAUUAUUACUAUUUUAGUUUAAGUUUAUUUAAGACUCUUAAUUAGAAUUGAAUUAGGGUACAUAAUACUAAUAAAAUAAAGGGUUAUAAAAUUCUAUUAAUAGGUCAAGAUUUUCUAUUAUUUGGUAGCUUUGAUUAUUAUGAUAUUAUUGACUAGAGAAUUUUCUCUUUGUUCUUGAGAAUUUGUUCUCUCCCCAAAUCCCCUAAUAACUAUUGGUUCUACAUCAGUGUGGGUAUGAAUGCAAGAGAAGUGUAUCAUAGCUCAAAUUUAGGACCUUUAUUCAAAACACCCAUCUUCCCAAAUGCUUAUGCUAAGGGGUCUCCAGGUGAAACUAGAAUUAGUCAAACUAUCAAAUUGCAUUGCCAUUUCCAUGGAAUAAACACUAGGAAAAUAGACUCUAAGCAGGCCAUGAGAGGUGCGCCAUAAAUCACAUGACGUUUUAGCUCUGAAAAUUUGUGACAUUAAAGAGACAUCAGAAAUGAACAAGUAAAAUUGGAAUAAGAUCAAUUCUCAACAUCUGUGCCAUUGUGUUAGACUGAAUAGUGAACGUUAAGGACUUAAAAGACUUAUUCUAUUAUCAAUUACAGAUAAAUUUGAAUGGUCAGUUUCUUCUUUCCAUGGAUUCAAACUGCGGAUGUGGCUAUAUUCGCGGUCGCAGAUAAUGAAAACAGGCUUAGAACGACUGUAUCAUAACAAUAACGGCCUAUCACAAUGCAAAUUUUUUUGGAAAAAUUUGCAAAGUUAAUGAAAUGAAUAGAUAUUUAAAGACAUAACUAAAAUUAAGAUACACAACUGAAGAAUAAGAUAAAUAUAUAUCAAAUAAAGGUAGUAAAUCCAUCAUUCUUAGGCAUCAUUAUCAUUAAUCAAUUUAAACCUAAAAUACCCAAGUAGAUAGUAAAGGACUAAUUUUAUUACCACCAAAAUAAGUGUCU
rnacentral:misc_RNA from 1 species